GUGCCUACGGGAGGCAGCAGUGGGGAAUCUUCCGCAAUGGGCGCAAGCCUGACGGAGCAAUGCCGCGUGAACGAAGAAGGUCUUCGGAUUGUAAAGUUCUGUCCUUAUCGAAGAGAGGGUAUAGAGUGAAAAAUGAUAUACUAGGACGGUAGAUGAGGAGGAAGCCCCGGCUAACUACGUGCCAGCAGCCGCGGUAAUACGUAGGGGGCGAGCGUUGUCCGGAAUCACUGGGCGUAAAGCGCUCGUAGGCGGUAUGUCAAGUCAAGGGUGAAAUCCCCGCGCUCAACGUGGGAACUGCCUUUGAA
rnacentral:rRNA from 1 species